CACGUAGGGCGCAAGCGUUGUCCGGAAUUAUUGGGCGUAAAGAGCGCGCAGGCGGUCGAUCAAGUCGAGUGUGAAAGCCCCCGGCUCAACUGGGGAGGGUCAUUCGAUACUGAUCGACUCGAAGGCAGGAGGGGGUAGUGGAAUUCCCGGUGUAGUGGUGAAAUGCGUAGAUAUCAGGAGGAACACCAAUGGCGAAGGCAGGUCUCUGGGCAUUAACUGACGCUGAGGAGCGAAAGCAUGGGGAGCGAACAGG
rnacentral:rRNA from 1 species